rnacentral:RNase_P_RNA from 1 species
GUGAGUCGGGUAGCUAACUCCGAAGGUGUCUUUCAAUAGACAAGGAUUUUAAUGAAUUCUCCUUUGAGGAAGGUCCGGACAUCGAUUAAAGCGACCACUUGAAAGGGUGGCUGUCGCGAGAUAGAGCUCCGCAACAGAAACGACACCGCUCUUCCGGAGCAAUGAACUUUGCAGGAAGCUAAGAAGGAAGAGAUAGGAUGAAACGGGCGACUUCGCUGAUGCAACCGCUACAACCGCGGGCUUAGAAAGAUGUUAGCACGCAGCGUUCGUCUGCAAAGACGAGCUUCGACAAAAUCUGGCCUAUGCCUGACUCAC